UACGAGGGGUGCAAGCGUUGCUCGGAAUUAUUGGGCGUAAAGGGUAGGUAGGUGGUCUCGUUUGUCUGGGGUGAAAGCCUUGAGCUUAACUCAAGAAGUGCCCUAGAAACGGCGAGACUGGAGUCUUGGAGAGGGUCGUGGAAUUCCCGGUGUAGCGGUGAAAUGCGUAGAGAUCGGGAGGAACACCAGAGGCGAAGGCGGCUCACUGGCCCAUUACCGACGCUCAGGCGCGAUAGCGUGGGGAGCAAACAGG
rnacentral:rRNA from 1 species